CAGUAGCCGCGGGAAUACGGAGGGGGCUAGCGUUGUUCGGAAUUACUGGGCGUAAAGCGCACGUAGGCGGAUACUUAAGUUAGGGGUGAAAUCCCAGGGCUCAACCCUGGAACUGCCUUUAAUACUGGGUAUCUUGAGUUCGAGAGAGGUAAGUGGAAUUCCGAGUGUAGAGGUGAAAUUCGUAGAUAUUCGGAGGAACACCAGUGGCGAAGGCGGCUUACUGGCUCGAUACUGACGCUGAGGUGCGAAAGCCAGGGGAGCGAACGGGAUUAGAUACCCCGGUAGUCCCUGUCUCUUAUAC
rnacentral:rRNA from 1 species